CUUUGGAAAUGAUACAUUACCCUUGUACUUUAAGAUAUGUGAUUCAGUUGACACACAUUUUCUAGACUUUGUGGUUUAUUUGGACAGUGUGAGACAAUCAUGUUGAAACUAGUUCACUCUACUCUUAAUUUCUCAUAAAAUUGCACUAUUGCAAGUACCUUUUACCAGGUAAAUUAUUGAGGCUAUCAUAAAACUGGAGACACGGCUAAUUGAAGAGUAUGAAUAAGAACCUCAUCAAAGGCUGGGCGUGAGCCACUGCGUCCAGGGAUAAAGUGAUUCUGUAACUUUGAUGGCUUUAUUCUCAACUCAGUAAUACCACUGGACCCUAUUUGGGUUCUUCUUCUCUAUGCUGCAGCCUGGAAACUUCCUCUAGUCAGUUACCCUGGAAUCUGCGGUACUCAUUUUGUUUCUUCAUUGCCUGCAGGCCAAUGUCUGAAAGAAAGACAGUGUUCCAUAUAUGUAUGGAACAUUAGAUAUCUUUUUCUCUCUCUCUGUAUCAUAUAUCUCUCUAUCUCUAUCUGUAUAUAGUUUUCUCUUGUUUCUGAUCAAAGGGCAACUUCGAUAGCAGUUACUCUUUCAUACAUGGGGUCAGAGGUCCACUUAUUGAAUAUUUUUGAUUUCUAACUAAUUGGAAAAAUAUAAAAAUUCAGAAAGCUAAUUUGCAAAAUGGUUCAAUAUUACUAUAGAUGUUCAAACAUUCCUAAAGUAUGGUUGAUAAGGGGAAGCUAAGAGAGAAAUUUUGAACUGUCUUGCUGAAGUUUCUUUUUUCUUUCUUUCUUUUUUAGGUGGAGUUUUGCUCUUGUUGCUCAGGCUGGAGUGCAAUGGCGCGAUCUCGGCUCUCUGCAUCCUCCGCCUCCCGGGUUCAAGCGAUUCUCUUGCCUCGGCCUCCCGAGAAGCUGGGAUUACGGGCAUAUGCCACCACGCCUGGCUAAUUUUGUAUUUUUAGUAGAGACCGGGUUUCUCCAAGUUGGUCAGGCUGGUCUCACACUCCCAACCCCAGGUGAUCCGCCCGCCUCGGCCUCCGAAAGUGCUGGGAUUACAGGCAUGAGCCACUGUGCCCGGCCUGAAGUUUCUUUUUUGUUUUUUAACUGUCCUCACCUGUCACAUAUCUAAAACAGUGUAUUUUAUUUACUCUAUGUUUAUGUAAAGAGUUUUAAAAUUUUGACAGUAGCUUAGAUUUUCAUUGGUAGAAUAUCAAGCUUGUUUAGGUUUUUAAGAGUUAUUAAAUGUCAUUAACUUCAUAAUUAAAUCUUAAGCUAUUUAUAAAAAUUGUGUGCUCCAUACGUAAUGCUAAGUACAUUCCUGCUCUAUAAGAUGUUCCACCGAACUUUAGAUUUGUAUAUCAAUGCAAAACCAAAUGAUUUUAUUAUCAGUGUUACACUUUUACCAAAAUUUAUAACAAAUAGCUUUCACAAUAACACCCUGCUUUUUUU
rnacentral:lncRNA from 10 species